ACGUCUCCGUUUCAUAAAACAGAAGACAAGGAAUUCGUUUCUUAUUUAUCAAAACCCUAGGCAACAACAAACGCUAAAAUCAUCUUCUAAAUUUCACGAUUCAGCCACAAUUUUCCUUCCUCAAACAAAGCUAAAUUAUUCAGAUGAGUAAUAAUUCUCGUCCCUGCAAAAAUUGUAACAAAAGGACUUUAACUCAAGAUGAAGAUUCAGGGAAUCUCGUCUGCAAAUCAUGUGGAAUAUUGCAAGAUUUCGAUAAUUACGACCCUCAAAUUGGUGGAAUAAGUGGUGCGGGUGGAACUUACGUACGUCACGGAUCUGCUGGUUCAGGUUCUGUUUAUAAUUAUAAAGAAUCUAAAAUUUAUCAUGCCGAGAAAUUAAUUGAAGAUUUAAUGCUCCAAUUAGAAUUGUCCGAUAAAUCCAGUGAUGUUAAAAGAACGGUGUUUCAAAUUACUGAAGGUGAAUAUGGUCAAGGUAGAUGGUUUGAAGUAUGUAUUGGUGCAUGUGCCUAUGUUUUAAUGAGGAAAGAUAGUAAGCAUUUGAGUAUUGUUAAAGUUGCUGAGGUAGUGAAAUGUGAUAUUUUUGAAUUAGGUCGAAUGGUUUAUAGGGUCGUCGAUUUUCUUGAUACAAAGUUGCCUGAAUUUGAUAUUGUUAAUUCGUUCGAGCAUUAUAUUAAAGAAGCCCCGAUUUUUAGUGGGGUUGAGGAGGAUAUAAAAGGAAGGAUGUUGAAACAGGGUGUGUUUUUGGUGCAAUGUUUGGUUAAGUGGUACGUGACAACGGGGAGGAGACCGUUGCCCGUAGUGGCUGCGGUUUUGGUGUUUGUUGCGCAGUUGAAUCAAGUUGACGUGACGAUUGAGGAUGUCGCGGAGGAGUUACAAGUGGUGGUUGGCACUUGUAAGUUGAGGUAUAAGGAGCUUUUGGAAAGGCUUGUGAAGGUUGCUCGAGGUUUGCCUUGGGGUGAGGAUGUUACGGUUAAGAAUAUUAUGAAGCACGCACCGUUUGUUAUUCAAUACAUGGAGUUGAAGUCAAUGUCGAAGAAUAGUGAUAAAAGGAAGAGUUUUAAAGAUGUUGGAGUUGAUCUGGAUUACAUGAUUGAUGAUUUUUUGAGCAACGAAAAUGUUGUUGACAUAAAAAGUGAUUCGCAAUAUUUUCAGAUGGACCCGAGUUUGAGUAUUGAAAGUCCGAAUAGAUUCCAGAUUUCCCAAGAGUGUUUGGCGAUGAUUUAUACAAAGAUUAAGAAUCAAGUUUCUGUACUGGAAUCUGCAAAUAGCAGAUAUAGUAAAGAAAGGGAAACGAAGAGUACGUAUGACUGGUGGCAGGGCGAAUCGGAAAUGAGCAAAAAGCUUUUAGUGAAGCAAAUACUGGAGAAGGAUGUGGGAUUGAGUACUACGCCUCCUUCGUUUGAUAGAGGUUGCUCGGCAAAUGAAAGGAGAAAAGCAAAAAUAAAGGCUGCAAAGUGUCGAAUCCAUAAGACAAUGUAUCCUUCGGAUGCUGGUUCAAUUGAUAAGAUUGAACAAUGUCCCGUUGAACAUGUAAAUGGUGGAAAGAAAAGGAGAAGGAAAAUGAAAGUUGAUGUUGAUUGGGAAGAUUUCAUUAUUGAAACCCUUCUCCUUCAUCAGGUAGAAGAAGAGGAGAUAGAGAAGGGGUAUUAUAAAACGCUGUUGGACUUGCAUGUUUUCAACCAUUGAAGAUAUAGCUGGUCAGUUUAGACCUAAUUUUGAUUUAUGUAAACAAUAUUCACAGACAAAAAACUUGACCUUUUUUUUGGACUGAUUCCGCGAGAGAAUAGGAGCAGCCAUUCUCCUGCCGUAUUCGGAGCAGCUUGUUCCAUAAGCUUAUGCCUCUACUAAACAGAAGCAACUAUUUGAUCGUGAAAAAAAUCUCUUAUAUAAACUGGUUGCUUCAAGCACCUGCAAUAACCAGUGCAUAGGUGACCGUCAAACAGGUUCAGGCAUAGGAAGAAAACAAACAUUACGGAAAUACAUAUAAAUCUGAAGAUAUGCCAGGUUGUUGGUGGAUCAGAAGAUGAUAGGCUUUCUCCCCUUACUGUCCAGCGGCAAAAGCCUCAACUGGGAAAGUUUUCGUGAUUCCAGCAAGACUCUUGAAGUGAAUCUUGCCAGUAGGAGGAUCCACUGUGAUGUCACCGACUGGAGGCCAUAGCAUCAGCUCCUUAGCCUUAACUCCCUUGAGUUUCUUGAUCCGCUUCUUCUCAACGUAUCCAGUUAUUUCGGUACCAUAACUAACCAGUUUACUUAUCAUCUUGAAGUUAUGCUCAACUUUUUUCUGCUGCAGGAUCCACAUGUAGCCGGUGGUUUUAACGAAUCCAACUUCGAUUACUUCAGCUAGAGGGAGAAGCCCUGCUGGAAGUUCGUAUUCUUCAAGAAGGGAAAGCGCCAUUUUCAAACCUUCCUCAUGACCCUUCUUGACAAUUGCUCCUUCCUUCUCUGCCAUGGAUUUCCUCACUUCUAAUUUCUUUUGGAAUUGCUUUUUCUUGCUGGUUUUUGGUUAUCUGUUUGAGGGAUUUAUAAAAUGGUGAUUGUAUGUAAGAGACAAAAAUUAAUGGAGAAACCAAAGAAUGAACAUUGUAUUAGCCACCAAAGCUGCUGAUUUUACUUUAUACCAUUCUCAUUUUUGUCAGUG